ensembl:lncRNA
AACCUGAAGGAUGUUGGCAAUUAGAGCCCAUUUCGAUCACCCGGGUUUGAGCUGACUGCCUUGGAGAACAUCAAUUAGCUCAGUGGCUAAACUGCGCUGAGAGUUACAGGUUACCAAGGGGACCUGUGGUCAAUGCCAGGAUUUAAGUGGCUCUAGUCUUCGGGGAUCAUCUUUCCUGAAUUGCAGCCAUGUUCUGGGGCUGUUGAUUAUCGGCAGGCUGAUUAGACCCUGUCUAUGGAGGAGAGUGAAUUCCUAAUUGCCAGCUGCUGAGGAGGCGAGCUUCCCGGCACAGACGCAGCCAGUCUGUUUCCCGGUUGAACAGCUAUGGAUGGAGUGCUGGCUCUUAGGUGAUGGGGCUCGGACGACCCCUCAGGUCCUAAAACCCUUUAAGGGGAUCCACAAAGUUUCCACUUUCCUAGCUGUGCAUCUGUGUGAGGCCAGGUUGUCUUCAUGUGUUUCCGUCAAAAUUUAAUCUGAGAGAUACAGCGCUUUUGCUGGAUCACACAGCCAGGAGAGGGCUCCUUACUCCUCAGUUCUGAGCCAGACCCCGAGGACCACCUUCUCACCGCCCUCAACAGUGUCCGAUCGACUCAGGGAUGGGCCAUGCCCAGCUGAUGAGAACCGGCUUCGGAGCUUCGGUGGGGACAUUUGUCUGGAGGCUCUUUUUCCCCUCACAGGUUGCUGAACUGGUAGGAGGUUACCCUGGAGCUCCUGGCCAGUGCAGAGCAAGAACCUGGCUGAGAAUCCUCACUGAUCAGAAGUCAGACAAGCAAUGGAGAGACUGAGACCCAACCCAGCACUGCCUUAUACCCUUGGCCUUUCCAGUAACAUGAGCCAAUGAAUUCCGUUUUCUCUCAUGUGUGUUCCUUUAAAUAUAACAAGUUUAACAUCAUCCGUACAUGUCACCCUUUUCUUUAUUUCUUUAGCUUGCCAGGUCUUAGUUGCAGCAUGUGAACUUAGUUGCGGUACGUGGGAU